rnacentral:rRNA from 1 species
GUUGGCCAUGUGAUACAUUUUCGGAAGGCCCAAAGACGGCCCUCNGACCAAAGAAGUAGGAACAAUGAACUUUUCCAUGACUUUUUGUGAACCCCAAAUUUUGACCUUUAAGUACUUUUUCGGGCAUUUUCGUGAUUUGGGCUAUAUUACGGACCCAAAAUUACUUGUUCAAGCAUUGUUUUCGAAUUUUUUCAUGCAUCAAAGCUCGUUAAGACUAGAUGGGGUAUCCCUACAUAGCGGGUGGGACCCACGACGAAUGGUUCAUCAAGUCUUCAAAAAAGAAUAUAUACGAUUGCAUUGCAUAUACUAACGGAUGCGAUCAUACCAGCACUAAUGCACCGGAUCCCAUCAGAACUCCGCAGUUAAGCGUGCUUGGGCGAGAGUAGUACUAGGAUGGGUGACCUCCCGGAAAGUCCUCGUGUUGCAUCCCUCUUUUAUGUUUAACCUUUUUUUUUUUUGGUUAAAACUU